CAUGACUGGGGUGAAGUCGUAACAAGGUAGCGCUAGGGGAACCUGGCGCUGGAUCACCUCCUUACACGA
rnacentral:rRNA from 1 species